UACGUAGGUGGCAAGCGUUGUCCGGAUUUACUGGGCGUAAAGGGCGUGCAGGCGGUUUGUUAAGUUCAGGGUGAAAGCUCCCGGCUCAACUGGGAGAGGUCCUUGGAUACUGGCAGACUUGAGGAGGGUAGAGGAGAGUGGAAUUCCCGGUGUAGUGGUGAUAUGCGUAGAUAUCGGGAGGAACACCUGAGGCGAAGGCGGGCUACUGGGCUGAUACUGACGCUGAGGCGCGAAAGCUAGGGGAGCGAACGGG
rnacentral:rRNA from 1 species